rnacentral:lncRNA from 1 species
AAUCAUUGCAAAACACGUUGAGCCAUUUCACAUUGUCUACACGAAUUAACACAGCACUAAUCGAAUUAGAACACUUCAUGCGAGGUGAAUCAUUUCAAGUUUAGAUGAAUUGUUUCUCAUCUUGUCCAGUCACGUUACAGUACGUUAUGUUCAAUCAUUUCUACACACAAUGAAUCGCGUUUGUGUUUAUAAUGAAUCAAUUCUGUUUAUGUCCAUUCAUUUCACACGUGUAGUAUUUUUGGUGGUAACGGCCGCCCAUAGAUUUCGCUCCGAUGCAAACCACCGGUACAGUGUAACUGGGGCAUAGAAUACAUGUAGUUUUCACAUUCUGCUGUAAUGCUGUUUGUGUUUUUGAUUGCAGUAAUGCGAUUCAUGGAAGAAAAAUAUUUCUUAUGUACGUAGCGCGAAUGAGCCAUGACGGGAUGACUGAAUUGUCGAGACAAUAUAACUGUAAAUACGGUGAAUGUUAAACGGGGGAAUCCGUGCGGAAUGGCGUACGAACUACAAUACAAUACAAUACAAUACAAUACAAUACAAUACAAUACAAUACAAUACAAUACAAUACAAUACAAUACAAUACAAUACAACUUUAUUUGAACAAUACACAUGACAAUAUUACAACAUUCAAAUCCUGCAAUAGCAUGCCAAUCGCGGGAGGAAAUGAAUAUGUUCUGCUUAAAUAAUAUUAUACAACUGAUUUAUAUAGAGACUAAAGUUAAAUUAUUUACAGAACGAGAGUUUAGAUUACGUGUGCGAUUGGCUAAGGUAAAAUUUAAAUGACAAAUAUUAUACGUGACACAAGUAUAUUCUUUUUUGAAAGUAACUAGAAAGUUGCAUUUUAGAACUGUUGUAAAUUAGUAGAUUUAGUAAAAAUAUAUUAGUAAAACAGUUAUAUAUGCAUGUCAGUAAUGAUAUAAUCAAAAAAUAUAUAAGUAAUUAACUGGAACAUUUGAAUAACAGGAAAUACGAACGUUAAAGAAAUACAGGAACUUUUAGCAUUUUAGUAAAUAAGACGGAAUGUACGUACGUAUAAGGGGAGUUUGUGGGUUGAUUUGUGGUCAACCAAGCGAGGAUGUUUUCAUGUUUUGCAUAAUGUGCGCCACGCAUUGACCUUCCUCUGGGAAAAAGUUCCCAUAGCAUGAAAAGUAGGGGAGUGUAAAUAAGAGUUAGAUUGCCGAAGAAAGCAGAUCGCGAAAGAUUGUGUAAGAGAUUGUAAGAGUGUUUGUAUAAUCUACUUCGUACUUAGACACAGUUAUUGCAUGCUUGAUAUAUUUUAAAUAUAUGUGUACAGUUUAGUUCGGGUAUGCACCGUGUCUCUACGCUUAAUUUAAUUUUGAGCAUUUUUAUCUUGACUUCCGACUUGUGAAUCGAUUGAUUCUUUCCUACCAUUUGAGGCACGUUGCAUGCUUACUGACUAAAUUAAAUUACAUUUUUAUGAAUUAUAAAUUAAUGGUCUAUUUAUCAUCGUUGUAACGUGCAUGUAUAUAUUUGUAUAUUUUUGUACAAUUUAAAUAUUGACAAUAAUUAAUAUUGUAAAUAAUUGUAAUUCUGAUGCAGGACCCCACUGAAAAACACGUAAGUGAUGUGGGUAUCCUGGAUAAAUAUAAUUAUUAUUAUUAUUAUUAUUAUUAUUAUAACGAUAGCAGUGAUCAGUCAUAUGUAACGAAUGAUAGAUUAAUAAAUAAAAUUUGAGAAACCCGAAAGCAAACAGUCCCAUUCGAGAACCAGCGAAGGAAUAAAUCUCACGAGGAGAACUUAUAACACGAACGAAAAUGUUGAGACUUUAUAACCCUAACCUCAUCCUAAUCCUAACCAACCCAUUCCAUACUAAUUCCACAUCCGCACGAGCAUUCUUCCUUUCACAUUCACCUCUUGUUUUUCACCUGUGCAAACAAACUUAAUUUGAACUUCGCUUACCUAACGACUAACCUUGAACUCAUAUACUUGCAGUAUAUUCUCUAUUUUUAUAUAUAAAAAGAGUAAUCCAGCAGUGUUUACAAGUAUUUUCCGAGGGAUUUUGUAUGGGUCUGUUUUCUGAGAGUGCGGGACAAAUAUAUUAAAAUCG